UGGGGUCAGACUAGCUGACCUUUAAAGGCCCCUUCCAACCCAGACUGUUUUAUGCUUGUGUUAUAUAUAUAUAUGCGCCUUUUAUCAUCAAAUCAAAAUUGCUCUAAUCUGCUUAGUGGGGUCAGACUAGCUGAGCUUUAAAGGUCCCUUCCAACCCAGAUUGUUUUAUGAUUGUGUUAUAUAUAUAUGCCUUUUAUCAUCAAAUCAAAAUUGCUCUAAGUACUGCAGAGCAAUUUCCUCAUAAGACAUCAUGUAGCUUCUACAUAUCUUUUAACAGGUGAUGACUACAUGUCCACAAGGACAUGGACAACCUCACUACAGGACCUUACCUUCAAAGUGGAGUUUGACCCAGUGGCCUUUGAGGAUGAUUGCUCAGUCAAAGAAAGAUGAGUUUCAGAGACCAGAGCCCUGAUACCACAAGCUUUUCUGCUUUUGCAAGCACUGGAGUCUGACAUAUAUGCAGUGGAAUAGAGGAGGUAUUAAUUAAUAUGUUUUUGCUAUUGAUUCUGCUUUUUCCUCUGCUGCUAGAUCAUUUUACUAUCAGCUUUAUGAUUUUAUUGGUAGAUCUCUAUAGUCUCUUUCUCUCAUGUUAAUUUUUCCCUUUUUGUGAGAUGGAAUUGAUGCUGCUAUUAGAGAUCUCUGCUAUUUGUUAUCGUCACAAGUGUAAGAAGGCAUUAUUAUCUUUUUAAAACUUGCAUUAACAUUUACUGUUGCAGUUAAUUCUUAGGCAUUCUGUAUCAGUGUUGCUGCCUAUUGUGAAGCCAAUAAAAUGCUAAUGAAAAAUGGACCA
rnacentral:lncRNA from 1 species